GAAGUACCUCUCACCUCUCCCGGCCUCGAGCCGAAUAGUAUCUCCUGAAAGCCCAACAGUUAGGCUGCUGGAUUUCCCAAGAGACUUAUCCGGCCGGCUACAGACCCUUUAGACCCAAUAAUAACGGUUACCACUCGAGCCGCCGGUGUUACCGCGGCGGCUGGCACCGGUCUUGCCCGGCCCUUGCUAUGUAAUGCUUUUUAGGCAUCACGACAGCCAGAUUUGUAACCUGGCACUCGAGGUCCCCUUAUCGCUGUUUCCAGCAUUGUAAAGUUUUCGCGCCUGCUGCACCCCGUAGGGCCUGGAUUCGUGUCUCAGAAUCCAUCUCCGGGCUCUUGCUCUCACAACCCGUACCCGUCGUUGGCUAGUAGGUACGUUACACCCACUACAACCUGAUAGGCCGCAGACCCAUCCUAAGGCGCCGGAGCUUUCGUCCUCGGUGCAUUCCAGCAGCCGAGGACUAUCGGGGAUUAUACCCAGUUUCCCGGGUUUAUACCCGUCCUCAGGGUAGGUUGUCCACGUGUUACUGAGCAGUACGCCAUGCCUUGCGGCAUUCGACUCGCAUGGCUUAGUCGAACCUCGAUAGCAGUAACCUCUGGCAGGAUCGACCAGAUCUGCAGCGGCCGCGGACCGCA
rnacentral:rRNA from 1 species